CAAACCUAAAAUAUAAAUAGGAACAGUGACAGCAACUGCCCAGCCUGUCCUACUGUUUGUGUUUAGUGUUCGUGAUUAUUUUGUUUCAACUUUUAUUUUCACACUGUAUGUUUUUUUUUUUUGUUAAAACCUUUUAUUUUAUUUUUGUUUGAAAAAAAGGAAACGGCUCAAGCGCCACUGCACCGCACCUGCAGUGUUUCUGUCACAGGAAGAUAAACAUCCAGGACUGUGACAGGAGCAGGCAGAUGACAUGAGCAAUUUUUCUGGACUUGAUGAUCUGCAAGCUUCUCAAACAGGAAAAAUAAAUGCACAAUAUAACCUGGAACUAAGCGUUUAUACCUGAUGAAGUGACCAUUCCAGCUUGAUAAACAACAUAAUAUUGAAAGAUACUACAAUAGCAGUUUGAAAUGACCUGAGGCUUAGGAAUGGUUAAUGUUAUCGAAUAAUAGAUUCUAACCUGAGGAAGCCCCAGAGAGGAACAUGAAUUUACCAAACAGGCUCAUUAGCUGGAAACUUCAAUUUUUGACAGGUAUGGCAGACUUCAAGCAGAUACUUGAGGAGGAGUGACCUGUCGCCACAUCACCAGUGCGCAUCACGAUUUCCCCAGAUUAAAAAGAGCACUGUUUCGUGCACUGCGGACGUGGGUUGGAUUACUGUGUAUUUUGUUUUGGGUUUUGCAAACCCGCAGUGAUACCCCCCUGAUACCAUUGCUGCUAGAGGGGUGGCUGUUUAUUUUUGCAUUUAAUAAACACAGACGUUUU